AACGAACGCUGGCGGCAGGCUUAACACAUGCAAGUCGAGCGCCCCGCAAGGGGAGCGGCAGACGGGUGAGUAACGCGUGGGAAUCUACCGAGCCCUAAGGAAUAACUCCGGGAAACUGGAACUAAUACCUUAUACGCCCUACGGGGGAAAGAUUUAUCGGGGUUUGAUGAGCCCGCGUUGGAUUAGCUAGUUGGUGGGGUAAAGGCCUACCAAGGCGACGAUCCAUAGCUGGUCUGAGAGGAUGAUCAGCCACAUUGGGACUGAGACACGGCCCAAACUCCUACGGGAGGCAGCAGUGGGGAAUAUUGGACAAUGGGCGCAAGCCUGAUCCAGCCAUGCCGCGUGAGUGAAGAAGGUCUUAGGAUUGUAAAGCUCUUUCACCGAUGAAGAUAAUGACGGUAGUCGGUGAAGAAGCCCCGGCUAACUUCGUGCCAGCAGCCGCGGUAAUAC
rnacentral:rRNA from 1 species